rnacentral:rRNA from 1 species
GGAUUAGAUACCCUGGUAGUCCACGCCCUAAACGAUGUGUGCUAGAUGUCGGGGGACUUGUCCCUCGGUGUCGGAGCUAACGUGUUAAGCACACCGCCUGGGGAGUACGGUCGCAAGAUUAAAACUCAAAGGAAUUGACGGGGGCCCGCACAAGCGGUGGAGCAUGUGGUUUAAUUCGACGCAACGCGCAGAACCUUACCAGCCCUUGACAUGCUGGCUGCGGUUCCGGGAGACCGGUUCCUUCCUUCGGGAGGCCAGUACAGGUGCUGCAUGGCUGUCGUCAGCUCGUGCCG